CACGUAGGGGGCGAGCGUUGUCCGGAUUUAUUGGGCGUAAAGGGCUCGUAGGCGGCUCAGUAAGUCGGGUGUGAAACCUCCAGGCUCAACCUGGAGACGCCACUCGAUACUGCUGUGGCUAGAGUCCGGUAGGGGAGCAUGGAAUUCCUGGUGUAGCGGUGAAAUGCGCAGAUAUCAGGAGGAACACCAGUGGCGAAGGCGGUCUGCUGGGCAGUAGCUGACGCUGAGGCGCGACAGCGUGGGGAGCAAACAGG
rnacentral:rRNA from 1 species